CAGGGACGUGGCCGUAAAGGGGCUCGGGGCUGUCGCGAAAGGGGCUGCAAAGCAACAGGGCGCCGCUGCACGGCUGGGAGGCCAUCUUGGAUGGGACUUGAGCUCCGUUAAGGGGAGAAGUUUUGUAAAGUUUUAUUAAAAGUACACAAAACUCCUGCGCCCGUUGCUCGUCAGGGAGGCGCUCCCGCCGAGCUCGGUCCCGCGCCCAGGGCUCGCGGACGGCCGGACGCGGAAGCGCUGCAGGACCCCCCAACCUCUUCAAGCCCCGCGCACGCCGCCGUGGCCGCGCGCCGGGACGCCGCCGCCCUCGAGCGCGAGCACGUGCGCGCACACCCGGCCGGAAGCUGCGGGAGGUCGCGAGCCUGCGGGGCGAGUUGCUGAGCGAGGUAGCGUUCUGCAUGCACAGUUGACCUUUAUACCCCAGGACUACGGAUUCCCACAGGUGUGAAAGAUAAAGCUGGACACUCCUGAAACUGUAAGUUGUCCAAUAGGUUCACUAUCACUCUCGUUGACUGGUCGGCUGACACCCUGGAAAAGCUGAAACCUGAGAGCCUCUUAUUUUCACCUUGUUGUUUCUCUGGACACAUUCUUUCUCCAUAUACCACUAAAUCUGCAAUGUACUUUAUGUGGUGACCACUGUAGGGAUAACAGAUUGACAAAUGUAUUCUGUUCUGGAAGGAAUUUUUACUUGGAAAAGACUCUCAAGGCAAUUUGAGACUAUAAAUUGAUGAGGUGAUCAUAUUUUUUAUUCUUGGAAUUUCUCAGUGUUUUUAAAUUUGGCUGUUACUGUGCAUUUUACUGUCUCCCAUGUGACCUAAUCAGUGCUGGAAACUCUGGGCCAAGCAAUACACUGUCAGUUGUCCAAGAGUGGAGUUGCUGAAGGAUCCCGCCUGCUUCAUUGGAAGAUGCCACUAGAAGAGGGCAGUUUGGAACUCGUCAUUUCUCUGGGAGACAAAGAAGCUUCCCUCUGAAGUUAAAUCACAUUAUUUGGCACAUAUACUGUGAACUCUUGGGAGAGUUUGGACAACCUGGUGAGAUCUGAUUUGACUUGAAACCUGGAACAUGGUUGUGUUCUUUA